rnacentral:misc_RNA from 1 species
GCCUAAAAAAAAAAGACGAGCGAGAGGAACGCAAGUGACUCUAGCGGCGGAUUUCCCAGUAACGCGUAGGUAACCUAGCUCAUACAGGGGGAUAGCAUCGGGAAACUGGUGGUAAUACCACAUAGAUCCUACAUAUGGCAUCGUAUCAACGAGAAAGGAGAAAUCCGGUAAGAGAUGGGCCUGCGUCUGAUUAGAUAGUUGGUGGGGUAAAGGCCUACCAAGGCGACGAUCAGUAGCCCGACUGAGAGGUUGAACGGCCACAUUGGGACUGAGAUACGGCCCACACUC